GGUCAAGCUACUAAGAGCACACGGAGGAUGCCUUGGCGUCAGAAGGCGAUGAAGGACGUGGUUAAGCUGCGAUAAGCCUCGGGGAGUUGCACGCAAACUUUGAUCCGGGGAUGUCCGAAUGGGGAAACCCGGCGCGAGUUAUGUCGCGUCAUUGUCAGGUAAAUCCAUAGCCUGACAAAGCCAACGGGGGGAACUGAACCAUCUCAGUACCCCUAGGAAAAUAAAGCAACCGCGAUUCCCCUAGUAGUGGUGAGCGAACGGGGAACAGCCUAAACCGGUCGUAUGUGAUAGCCUGCGUGCGUUAUACGACCGGGGUCGUGGGGUUUGAAGUGAUCGGGAUGCAGCCCGAUCGAAGAGUUACAAAUGUCUUGGUUAGCCGAAUCUUCUGGAAAGUUGAGCCAUAGACGGUGAAAGUCCGGUAGGCGAAAACCAGAGACACUCUUUUUCAAAUACCCAAGUACUACGGGACACGUGAAAUCCCGUAGGAAUCCGGAGGGACCACCCUCUAAGGCUAAAUACUCACUGACGACCGAUAGUGAACCAGUACCGUGAGGGAAAGGUGAAAAGUACUCCUGGCGGAGAGUUAAAUAGAUCCUGAAACCGUGUGCUUACAAGCUGUGGGAGGAAAGACCGGAUGAUCCUCGGAUUGUUCGGUUGGACUGACUGCGUGCCUUUUGCAUAAUGAACCGGUGAGUUACUUGUAUGCAGCAAGGUUAAGUCCUUCAGGGACGGAGCCGUAGCGAAAGCGAGUCCUAACUGGGCGUUGAGUUGCAUGCAGUAGACCCGAAGCCGAGUGAUCUAGCCAUGGCCAGGGUGAAGCGUGUCUAACCGCACGUGGAGGCCCGAACCCACUAACGUUGAAAAGUUAGGGGAUGAGCUGUGGAUAGGGGUGAAAGGCCAAUCAAACUCGGAGAUAGCUGGUUCUCCCCGAAAUAGCUUUAGGGCUAGCCUCGCAGGAGAGUAGUGGAGGUAGAGCACUGAAUGGGCUAGGGGGCCUACAAGCUUACCAAACCCAAACAAACUCCGAAUGCCAUUUACUUGCUCUGCGGGAGUCAGCCUGUGGGGGAUAAGCUCCACAGGCGAGAGGGAAACAAACCGGACCGUCAGCUAAGGUCCCUAAGUGCGAGCUAAGUGAUUAAGGUGGUGGAAUUACUCAGACAACUGGGAUGUUGGCUUAGAAGCAGCCACCAUUUAAAGAGUGCGUAAUUGCUCACCAGUCAAGUGAUUCUGCGCUGAUAAUUCUUCGGGGCUCAAGCUCGCCACCGAAGCUACGGGAUUCCGCUUUGCGGGAUCGGUAGGGGAGUAUUCCAUAGUAGGUCGAAGGUUGUCCGUAAGGAUAGCUGGACGAGAUGGAAGAGAGGAUGCCGGUACGAGUAGCGAUAAAAGGGGUGAGAAUCCCCUUCACCGAAAGCCUAAGGUUUCCUGAGCAAGGAUCGUCCUCUCAGGGUAAGUCGGUACCUAAGUCGAGGCCGAAAGGCGUAGGCGAUGGAAAACAGGGUAGAAAAUUCCUGUACCACCGGACAGGCGACAAAGACACGAUGGGGGGACGCAGAAGUGAAAGGUCAGCCAGUUUUGGUCGUACUGGUCGAAGCCUGUAGGAGGUUCGCGUAGGCAAAUCCGCGCGAACAUACUCCGAGAGGUGACAGGGGAACGAGCCUUCGGGCAAGCCAACUGAUCCUAAUCAUGCUGCCAAGAAAAGCCUCUAAGUGAGUCUGUCAGGUGACCGUACCGCAAACCGACACAGGUAGGCAGGUAGAAUAUACUAAGGUGCUCGAGUGAAUCCUCGUUAAGGAACUAGGCAAUCUAGCUCCGUAACUUCGGAAGAAGGAGUGUCCCCACGUAAGUGAUCCCCCUCGCGGGGUGAGCUGAAAGGGAUCGCAGUGAAAUGGCUCAAGCGACUGUUUACUAAAAACACAGGUCUCUGCUAAGUCGUAAGACGAUGUAUAGGGACUGACACCUGCCCGGUGCCGGAAGGUUAAAGGGUGGGGUUAGCCGCAAGGCGAAGCCCUAAACUGAAGCCCCGGUAAACGGCGGCCGUAACUAUAACGGUCCUAAGGUAGCGAAAUUCCUUGUCGGGUAAGUUCCGACCUGCACGAAUGGUGUAACGACUUGAGCGCUGUCUCAACGAGGAGCUCGGCGAAACUGUAGCUCCGGUGAAGAUGCCGGAUACCCGCGACAGGACGGAAAGACCCCGUGAACCUUUACUGUAGCUUGAUAUUGGGUCUCGUCAAUGCAUGUGUAGGAUAGGUGGGAGGCUGAGAAAGAAGGGCGCUAGCCUUUCUGGAGCCGACCUUGAAAUACCACCCUUGUGUUGUUGGGAUUCUAACUUCGACCCGUGAAUCCGGGUGAAAGACAGUGUCAGGUGGGCAGUUUGACUGGGGCGGUCGCCUCCCAAAAAGUAACGGAGGCGCCCAAAGGUUCCCUCAGCACGGUCGGCAAUCGUGCGCAGAGUGCAAAGGCAUAAGGGAGCCUGACUGCGAGACAUACAGGUCAAGCAGACACGAAAGUGGGGCUUAGUGAUCCGACGGUUCCUUGUGGAAGGGCCGAAGCUCAACGGAUAAAAGGUACUCCGGGGAUAACAGGCUUAUCUCCCCCGAUAGUCCACAUAAACGGGGAGGUUUGGCACCUCGAUGUCGGCUCAUCGCAUCCUGGGGCCGGAGAAGGUCCCAAGGGUUCGGCUGUUCGCCGAUUAAAGCGGUACGCGAGCUGGGUUUAGAACGUCGUGAGACAGUUCGGUCCCUAUCCGUCGCGGGCGUAGGACAUUUGAGAGGCUCUGCUCUUAGUAUGAGAAGACCGGAGUGGACGAACCUCUAGUAAACCAGUUGUGGUGCCAACCGCAUCGCUGGGUAGCUAUGUUCGGAUGGGAUAACCACUGAAAGCAUCUAAGUGGGAAACCUACCUCAAGACGAGAUGUCCCGAGCGCAAGCUCCUAAAGGCUCCUUGUAGACUACAAGGUCGAUAGGCCAGAGGUGUAAGUGGCAAGGUGACGAGCCAUUCAGCCGACUGGUACUAAUAGCCGUGAGGCUUGGCCAG
rnacentral:rRNA from 1 species